rnacentral:rRNA from 1 species
UACGUAGGCAGCGAGCGUUGUUCGGAAUUACUGGGCGUAAAGCGCACGUAGGCGGCUUUGUAAGUUAGAGGUGAAAGCCCGGGGCUCAACUCCGGAAUUGCCUUUAAGACUGCAUCGCUAGAAUUGUGGGAGAGGUAAGUGGAAUUCCGAGUGUAGAGGUAGAAAUUCGUAGAUAUUCGGAAGAACACCAGUGGCGAAGGCGGCUCACUGGCCCGGUACUGACACUGAGAUGCGAAAGCGUGGGGAGCAAACAGG